GAGCGCAACGGAACGUCGGUAAAAUGCAUGACUUUAACAGCACGAAAUGGCAAAAAGAGAGAAAAAUGUCGAGACUAAUGUACUUUUUCCAUGUUGGGGAUUUUUGUUUUCGACUCUAAUCUGACAGUUGACUGAAAUCUUGUCUUUCUUUUAAGUUGUUUAUGCUUAAUCUAAAUGAAUUCACUCCGAGAUUUCAUCUCUUGUCUUUCUUUGGAGAUGUUCUUUAAUCUAAAUGAAUUCACCCCGAGAUUUCAUCUUGGUUUUUCUAAAUGGGAUGUAAUUACUUCAAUACAAAUAGCGCUCGUCAAAGAUGCCACAGUGAGAAGGGUUAUCUUGGCAUCUCGCACGCUCGGAGUUUUAAUGAAGUAGCUGGCGCGAUGCAUGGUGUUUCUGGCGCACCAUCAGACACCGUGAGGGCGUGCUGUGAGUGAUACGUAUGCGAUAAACGGGCGAUAAUACCACUCUUGAGUGACAACCAUGUCCACCAUUUGUUGGACUUCAGAGUGGUAUUCAUUGUACAAUCACGUUGUUUGCUAAGGGAUAAUGAAUCAAUUUAUGUUUAGCAUAGUCAUCUCUUUCGUUAUUAACUUCUAAGGAAUGUAAAUGAGCACAAAGCUAAUUAAUUAGGAGUGUGGUUCCGCACAAAAAAAUAAGCACUUUCUCUUAGUAAAGUUACUUUUUUUUGCUAGACUUUGAAAUCUUAUCGGGAGGUCCCAGCAAGACUUUCAACUAUGGUUGCUUGGUAACCUUUUAAAGAAAACGUGGCACCCACCGAAUAUAAGAUGAGCCAAGUUCAAUAUACGAGAAUUAGAAUAAACGGAAGUUUUCAUUGUAAAAGUAAUUCCACUUUAUUCGUCAAGUCACGAUGGCAGGAAAGCCUGGGUACCACUUGCUCUACACAUUAGAUACUGACUCGUUCCCGGUCGUGAUCGUGUGCGGAGAAAGAAAAAAAGAGGGCGCGCAAAGGUUCACGGACAGUGAGAAGCAGGACAAUGCAAACGCAAUGCAUGAUGGACCGUCACAAGAGCUCGAAUCUCACGCCUUUCUGUGGUCCUUUGCGCGCCACGUAUAACCCAGCCCAGACUUGGGUCGAGAGAGCAUUAGAUAAGAAUUGAAGUAUUGGGCCCAUACUGACGGUAACAACACAAGACAGACUAGACUAAAACUGAUAGGCGAUCUGUACAUUAAGGUAUUAAAAGAAAUGCCAUAUAUAACA